rnacentral:lncRNA from 1 species
UAUUCCUCGCUUUGGCGACAUCGUCUUGGCCAGGAGCGGCGACAGGGUGCAUGUCGAUCAAUGAGGGUACUGCGUCUUCUAAGCUUACCCUUUCAGGCUGGGAUUUAGGCUUCCUCUCCCCUUGUUGGUGGUGGAUCUUUGCUGCUAUUACAGGGUGUGCCCUGGUCAGCUCGUCCCUUCCUGUUACAAAUUAUUGGCGAUGAUGAUUAAAUAUGCGGAGUUGGCACGGAGGGAAGUAACACUUGGGCAUGUGUUGACUCUGUACGCUCCUCAGAGGGUACGUGGCACUAUGAUCCGGUUGGCUCGUCGUGGGACCGAUGGAUUGACUACGGAGCUCGAUGAUGAGGUCGCUACUCAUCCCUUCGAGUAUUUCUUUUGCAUCAGGACUGAGCACCUGGUGGCAUGUGCCACUGACUUCCCGGCAGAGUGGAACCAUGCAC